UGACGCAACAUUCAAAGCCUA
rnacentral:siRNA from 1 species